CCGAGCUCUGACUUGAAGUUUAGAAGCGCUUCAUCCAAGGCCCAGUCAGAUAUUUGCCAAGUAAGCAUAAUAUCUGAAGUUCUACUUUUGCUUCAUCCUGAGUGAAGUCAUGGAGGAUGGCGCUUUUCAACCCCCCACAGGAUUUUCCGCUAUUCAGCAGGGCAACAAAGUCAUCAUAAUGUUCUAGGAGCUUGCCACUAAUAUGAAACAGUAUGUGCAAUUUGUUGC